UACGUAGGGUGCGAGCGUUAAUCGGAAUUACUGGGCGUAAAGGGCCAGUAGGCGGCCAACUAAGUCACACGUGAAAUCCCCGGGCUUAACCCGGGAACUGCGUGUGAUACUGGAUGGCUUGAAUUCGGGAGAGGGAUGCAGAAUUCCAGGUGUAGCGGUGAAAUGCGUAGAUAUCUGGAGGAAUACCGGUGGCGAAGGCGGCAUCCUGGACCGACAUUGACGCUGAACGGCGAAAGCUAGGGGAGCAAACGGG
rnacentral:rRNA from 1 species